rnacentral:misc_RNA from 1 species
CCGAGUUUACAACUCCCAAACCCAUGUGAAUCUUACCUUUACGUUCCCUCGGCGGCGUUCCCCUCGGGGUUCCCGCCAGAGGACCAAACAAACCCUUUGCAUUUAUUAGUAUUAUUCUGAGUGAUCUAAGAAAUAAAUUA